rnacentral:rRNA from 1 species
AGUGAACGCUGGCGGUAGGCCUAACACAUGCAAGUCGAACGGCAGCACAGUAAGAGCUUGCUCUUACGGGUGGCGAGUGGCGGACGGGUGAGGAAUACAUCGGAAUCUACUUUUUCGUGGGGGAUAACGUAGGGAAACUUACGCUAAUACCGCAUACGACCUACGGGUGAAAGCAGGGGAUCUUCGGACCUUGCGCGAUUGAAUGAGCCGAUGUCGGAUUAGCUAGUUGGCGGGGUAAGGCCCACCAAGGCGACGAUCCGUAGCUGGUCUGAGAGGAUGAUCACCCACACUGGAACUGAGACACGGUCCAGACUCCUACGGGAGGCAGCAGUGGGGAAUAUUGGACAAUGGGCGCAAGCCUGAUCCAGCCAUACCGCGUGGGUGAAGAAGGCCUUCGGGUUGUAAAGCCCUUUUGUUGGGAAAGAAAAGCAGCAGGUUAAUACCCCGCUGUUCUGACGGUACCCAAAGAAUAAGCACCGGCUAACUUCGUG